UACGUAGGUGGCAAGCGAUACUCGGAAUCACUAGGCGUAAAGCGCAGGUAGGCGGUUUGGUAAGUCUCUUGUGAAAGCUCCCGGCUUAACUGGGAGAGGUCAAGUGAAACUACCGGACUUGAGUGUGGUAGGGGAUACUGGAAUUCCUGGUGUAGCGGUGAAAUGCGUAGAUAUCAGGAGGAAUACCUAUGGCGAAAGCAGGUAUCUGGGCCAUCACUGACGCUGAGCUGCGAAAGCUAGGGGAGCAAACAGG
rnacentral:rRNA from 1 species